CCCUUUCUUCUCAUAACCUCCGUGCCCCCGUGAUGGCAAGGCCCGGCCCUCCCGAUGCCACACACUCCUGCAGGCAGGCCACGCCCUCCCGCAGCCCAGCCAGGCCGACUCCACCCGCCGUUCCGGUCACAGCCCCACCGGCCCUCUCGGAGCGGGGCGCAGCCUGGGCACAGGCCUGUGGGCAGGACAGGCUGGGUGUACAGCCCCGCGGCCCGGGCAGCGCCCGAGGUCGGGGAAGGAAGCCCCGCCUCCUGAGCCCCGUUCCGGAGUCGGGACCCCGACUCUCUCCCGAGGGUCUGGGGACAGGAGGGGAGACUGGCGCCACCCGCGUCUUAGGGGUCCCACAGCGGCUGAGGGAGGGGUUCCAGGGAUCUGUGACGACGGACCCUGGGCUUGGGUGUCAGAUCAACGACAUACCGAAGUUUGAAUCCCAGCUGUGUGAGCCUGGACAAGUUCUUCAACCUCUCUGAGCCCUUGCUUCCUCCUCCGUAAAAUGGGAACUCCCCGGGCUGCUAUAAGGAACUCUUAUAAUUCAAUAGCAAGAAAACAAAUAACCUGAUUGAAAAAUGGGCAAAGAAACAGAGACAUUUCUCCAAAGAAGACACAUAAAUGGCCAACAGCUGUCCUGGUGUAGGAGCGCCCCGCCACCCUCCGUGCUGACAUCUGGUGUAGGGCACAGUAUGUGACAUGAUGGAACAGGGCAACGCGUCAUAUCACAGUGGAAACGUGCCCUGAAGAGGCUGCCACUGAGACUGUGUGGGGGGUGGAGAAGGAACAAGGCAUGAAAGCUAAGGAGCCAGAAGCUGGUGUGUACAAAAUUCUUCCAGGCGUCAAACAGGUAAAAUCGUAAGCAGAGGAUUUGGUUGUCAUUAACCCUAGUCAACAUGGAAGUUCUUUCAGGAAUGUUCUUGCUAAGGCUGUGCAUGUAAUUACAAACACCAACUGUUUUUUCUUUUUUGAUGGACAGUGGGCAAAAUGAAACUUAUCAGGAUUCUCAUAGAGCACAAAUAUGUAACAGGAAGACAAAUGAGGAUGCAUGUGUGAGUGGAGUCCUAGGUUUCAUGCAUCAGAUCACAUCGUAGCAUAUCUGACACAUCUUGUCUUGACAAAGUCUGGUGGUUGCAGAAAAAAUAAAGUGCCACAUUGCCACCAAUGCAGUGAAACAGCCUGAAGAAAACACACAUACACACCACAGAGCAAGGACGCAAAACAAAGGAUGCACUCAAGAGAGAAAGCAUGACAUGAAAUAAGAUGCCAGAAUGAGGACUAAACCUAUCCAUCAUGCGCCAUCAAUAAAUGCAAAUGGGGUAAGCCUUGUUUGGAAAGGAAAUCCAUGGUGUGCCUUUGUAUCAGACAUCUCUUAAUGCCACAGCAGAGCCCUCAUCCCCAUAAGCCUCCAGGGCCUUUUACCUAUCCUGUCCUAGCCUCUCAGCAGUCACCAGCUCUGCUUGGGCCCCGAAUGACUUCAUGCAGAGACAACCCCCCACACCUCACCUCAUGGCCACCCUGUACCACGUGUCCCCAGAGACACUUGGUGCCAAGGGUGGUCUUUAAAAGAAGACUCUUAGGGCAGGAUUGUGAAAUUGGAGUACCGACUGUUCUGAAGGCAAUAGGGACACUAUUGCUGGUGGUAAGUGGGUGGUGAUAACCCUCGGCAUGAAGUGGCAUCACUAUUACUAAGGUUUUCAUCUGUGGUUAAUUGGGGUGAGGUGCGGGUUGAAGGUGAAAUUGAGCUGGGAAAUGGAAUGCCUGUACCGUUUGUCUGGACGGGGCCUAUAAUAAUUAUAAGAAAUGUAGAGUAAGCCGGCUUUUAUUGACAGCAUAAAAAACCUUGCGGAAAAGAAAGCGAUAGGCUCAGGGUAGCUAACAGCCAACUUAAGGACGUGUAAAAGCCAUGGGGAGCUUUAUGGUGGGUUUUAAGGAGGCCCUCAUCUCCUGCAGCUUCAGGGAAACUGCUAAAAGUCAGGCUCAGCAGCUGACCGUAAGGGUGACAGCUGCCAAAGGAGGCUGAACGUGCAGCUGUGACAGAUCACCUGUCAGAUUCAGGCUCUACCAGAAAAAGAGUGGGACCCUGGGAUAGGAACAUUGGGUAGAUGAGCCAGAAAACCUUGAACCCUCUGAUACCCUGGAACUCUCCAGGCCAGCAGAAGCGGCCAGCCCCUGCCCUAAUGUGGAGAUGGUGCAAAGACCUCCCUGGAAGCAGAUGCCUUGCAAGAUGUCAUUUGCUUUUCGUAAGAUCUGCGUCCAUCACCACUCAUUGCCUCCAGGCCAACAGUCAGAAUCGGAUCGCCACAACCUGAGCAGGAAGGUACAGUUCCUACUCCCAGAGGAUCAGCUUACACACCCCAGGAAUCACAGGAGCUGGCCAGCACGUGCCUUGGGGAGCUAAGGAGAGCCAUGUGGCAGUGGAUCUGAGAUGAGCGACCAGGGGGAGUGGAAUCUAAGGCUGGAUUAGAGAGAAUUUAUUGAUGUGGGGCCUUCACCUGCGAUGUGGCAUUCAAUACUCUAGCAAGGAUACCUGGAGCUAGUCUUAAUAGUAUGUGCAGAUGGCUACAAAACUUCCACAUGACAAUGAGGUGGGGAUGCCAGAACUUUCUUCACACAGUAUUGAGGAAGUGGUUACAAGGCUCAAAGAGAGGAGAAUUUUAGAAGGGAUUUACUAGGUAAGAUCUGAGACCGCACCAUCUGACUAGGCCCAGGAAGGCCCAGAGGCAACGAGGAAGGACUGGACCACUGCUGUCUUUGAGAUGCCCUGUGGGGUUGAUGGGAAUAGAUACUACCAUGGAACCAAACGCCCAAGUAAAAGAGGAUAUACACAUAUAUCAAGAGUUGGUGAGUUAAAGGCUGAUGUCAUCCAUUGCUAUGGAAAAUGGCGGCCCCUUGUCAAUCCCCAGGCCUGAGUCAGUUUUCAGACCCCAAGUCCAUUGAAAGGGGGCCUGAGUUCCCUCAAGGAACACGGAGAGGUUUUUUCUCACACCAACCACUUCAAUUCUCUGACACCAUCCAGGUGUCCUACAAUUCAAUUCAACUAGGACACUUCUAGGAUCUGGUGUCAGACUCCAUAGGUUGAAGGGCUCCAUCCCACAUGGCUGCCCUCUGCUUCGGACGCCAGUCUCAAGCAUCGGGUCCCCAGGUUAUCCACACUUCUGUCUGACUUGACCACAAACUCUGGGGUUCCCACAGCUCCCCCCCUCAGGUUAGGUAAUUUAUUAGAACAACUCACAGAACUUAGGAAGAUGCUAUAUUUACUAUUACGUACAGUUGUUAGAAAGGAUAUGAAUGAACAGCCAGAAGAUGGGCAGAGGGCGAGGUCUGGAACAGUCCCAAGUGCAGGAGCUUCUGUCCCCUUGGAGUUGGGGUGUGACCCGCUCCUGGCACGUGGAUGCGUUCACCAACCCGGAAGCUCUCCAGGCCUCAUCAUUUAGGGUUUUUUAUGGAGGUUUCAUCACAUAGGCCACAUUGAUGAAAUCGUUGGCCAGUGGUAACUCUCAAUCUCCAGUCCAUGUGCCCUCCCUGGAGGUUGCGAGGUGGGGCUUAAAGUUCCAAGCUUCUAGUCAAGCCUUGGUCUUUCUGGCAACCAGCCCCUAUCUUGAAGCUGUCUAGGGCCCCACCAAGACUCACCUCAUUAGAACAAAUGAUGCUCCUAUCACCCUUAUCACUCAGAAAAUUCCCAGGUUUUUAGAAGCUUUGUGCCAGGAACCAGGAGAAACACUAAAUAUUUUUCUUAUUACACUACAAACACCACCACAAGUAUAUAUGUAAAUAGUCUCCCAGUCCUUCUACCAAAGGGAUCUGCGGCCAUUGACUGGAUAACUGUGCCCUGGGGUAAGGGGCUGUCCAGAAUUUUAAAGAACUGUGAAACAUGGGGAUCUGCUGACGCGAAUACCCAAGGACCCAGAACACCAUUAUGAUUGUCCUAUUAGAGUGGGCUUCUAGGAGUUAGGCAGCAAAUGGAAUUUUGACCCAGCUCUAUCUUUCAGUUGGUCUAACGGGUCUGUGGAAUGACCCUGUGAUAAUUCCCCUAGUUCCCAAAUUUAUAAUCUGGGAAGAUUUACUUGGAAGCUAGCAGGAAGCUCACAUUGGUUCGCUGACCUGAGGACCAGGGGCCACUGUGGUGGGAAAAGCCUGGGGAAGCCUCUGAUGCUGCCUUCUCAUCCCCUAGACAAGGUGGUAAAUCAGAAGUAAUAGCCCACCCUGGGAGGAAUUGCAGAGUAGUGCCACUCUCAAAGACUUAAAGGACGCAAGGGUGCUGGGCUCCAUCAUAUUAUUGUUCAGUUUAACCUUUUGUUCGACCUUGUAAUGGUUGAUUUUUGCUCUGAUACUCCCAUUGGGCUGGCCUGGACCUUGUCAGAUCUGCUUCACUCUCUGAGGCUCUCCCUGGCCCAUCCUGCUUCCUCUCCACCUUUCCAUUCAUAGGUGUUGGGUCUGCAUUGUGGUCUGAAGGCUUUGCUUGCCCAAUCCUGCUUCUCCCUCUUUUUAGCUUUCACAGGUGUUAGGUCACAAUAAACCCCUUGCGUUCCAAUCCCAUCUCAGUGUGAGCUCCUGGAGGCCCCUCCUGGCAAGCCCCAAUGUCAGUUGCCCUGCCUGGAUCAGAUCAACCCAGCCUCUGGCACUUUGUUGGCAGCCACAGAGCUGAUGAGUGCAUUCUUCUUGAUCCUCAUUAGUUGAGAGAAUCAAAAUCUGCUUGCUUUUAUGUGGGAAGGACAGCAGUCCACAGUCACAUUUUUUCUCCUGGGCUAUGACAUCUCUUUUGCUCUGUGUCACAAAUCAGAUCACAGACACCUCAAUCAUCUCAUCCUACAGAACCUUGGCUUAGUCUGUUAUGCUGAUGACGUCAUCCUAAUUAGAUGUGGUGAGCAGAAAUUGGCAAGUACCCUAGACGCUUUAGUAAAACACAUGUGACAGAGAGAGAAAGCCCGUAAAGAAUUCAAAAGUCUGCUACAUUGGUGAAAUGUCUAGGAAUCUAGUCUUGCAUACACUGAGACAUUUCUAUUAAAGCAAAGGACAAACUGUUGCACCUCGCACCUAAGAAAGAGCACCGGGCCUGGAGGGCCUCUUAGGGACUGGAGUCAGUGGACAUCACCCUUGGCAACACUGCUGUGAUCUGCAUGUGGGGGGCGCUCAGAAGACUGCCAGUUUCAAGGUCCCAGAGCAAGAGAAGACUGACAAAGACAAGGCAGCAAAAACUCAGAUCUCUUGGGGAUGAAGGUGUGGGUCACUCUAUCAGGCAAAGCAGCCAAAGCACGAGCUGAGGAGAAAGGAAACCCAGGAUGGGUGGUGGGACAUGCUGACUAUAAAUCACAGCCUCGGGGACAGCCGGGAGUGUAGCUGGUUUCAUUGAUCUUCUUGCCUUAAGUCUUUUCAGAGAUGUGUGACUGGCCACCUCCUUGAAGGAAAUUCUGAGACUAAGGGUCUCACAAAACCCAGCAUAGGAUAAAGGUGCCAUUGCAAGUCAGCAGGGAAGAGAGACACAGAUCAAUAAAUGGCAUCAGGACAAUUGAAUCCCAAGAGAUUGAAGAUAAAAAUUUUAAAGUACUGUAAAAAUGCCAGAAGAAAGCAUGGUAAAAAGUUUAUUAACCUCAGUGUGGGAUGAAUUUUCUAAACAAAAUCUAAAGUCUCAGCUGUAAAAGAAGAGCCUGGUAAAUUUGGCUCCCUAAAUCUUAGAAUUUCUGCAUGGAUGUGCCAAUGGCAUGAAAACGGGAGUACCAUUGUUCUAGAUUUAUAAAUGGCUUGUAAAUAAAUUAAAAGAUGCUCAACCUUAUUCCUAAUUAGAGACAGGCAAAUAAAACCAUCGAUGGGGUUGGGCAUCUUUUAAUAUAGUUUAUAAGCCAUUUAUAUUUAUAUUCUCUGUGAAAGCCAAUUUUUGCUUUCAUCCGUAUUUUCCCACAGUUUGGUAAAGAUCAGAACAUUUGAUAAUAUAAAUUUGGCUACAAGGUGGAUAAAUAGACACUCACAUACGUUUCUGGGGAAAGUACAUGCAUUUAUUGCUGUGACUUUUUUGAAAGGACACUUGACAAUGUCUAUUAAAACUACAAACACACAUGCCUUUUGACCCAGCAAUUCUAUUUCUAGAAAUAGAAAUAUUUCUAGGAAUAUAUUCCUACAUGUGUGGAAUGUCAUAUAUGUGAGCACUGUUUGGAAUAGCAAAGUCCUAGAAACAACCUAAAUGUCCAUCCAGGGGGGACUGGCUAAACAAAUGAUGAAAUAUCAAUUCAAAGAAAUACUACGCAGCCAUAAAAAAGAAUGAGACGUAUAUAUAGUACACAACAUAUGUGUGUUUGCAUGUAAUGUCAAGAUAUUUCACUCUUGUUAAGUAAAAUCAGCAAGGUACAGUAAGUACAGUGUGCCCAACAAGUCGCUCAUUCAACAAAUGUUGGAGACUUUCUCUAUGCCAGGAACUGUCCUAGGUACUGGAGAAAUAGAGGUACAAGUGAGCUGAGCGGUAGGGUUUGGAAUCUAUGUUUUACUCUAAAACUUGUUCUCAUUAUGUUAAAAAAGGAUAUAUAUUUAUAUAUAUAAAUGCAUUUCUUUUUGCAUGUGUGCUUGUACAUAAUCUUUCUGGAAGGAGAAACAAGAAACUGAUACUAGCAACUGCCUCAGGGGGACUGGGGCUCCGGGGUGGGAAGCUGACUUAUGUUUCACAGUGUAUCUUUUUAUGCUGUUUGAUAUUUUUACCAUGUACAUGAAUUAUUUUUUCAAUUAAAAACUAGUUAAUUUUUUAAACUGUGGAAACAUCUUAAUAUUCAAUCUCAGCUGUAAUCAGAGAAAUGCAAAUUAAAAACAUCAGGGAAAUAAGAUUUUUUAGGAAGGAUUUAAAAACUCAUAAAGCUCACAGUUGAUGAGGAUGUGAGAAAAUGGAUUUGUGUAUUGUUUGCAUGUUUCAUUUGCGGGAACGAGCAUUGGUAAACCUUUCCUGAGGAUUGCUGGAUGUUUUUUAUAUCAAAGGCCUUAACUUUUUUAGUAUAUCCUUGUUCCAACCAUUCUGCAUCCACAAAUUUCCCCAGAGGAAAGAGUCAGGGACAGGUGCAAAGAUGAAGCUAUAAGGCUAUUAGACUCAGCGUGUGAAUAAUAGGGAAAUUAUAGGAGCAAUUUAAAUUCUAAUAAGAAUCAUUUAUUUAAACUAUGGUAUAUCCGUACCAUGGAAUUGUAUGACUAUACUUAAAAUACUGUUAAAGCAUAUUGAAUGACAUGCAAAAAUGGUAUCAAUUUAUUGCUAGGUGAAAAUGAAGUUAUAAAAGAGAGUGUUCCCUAUUCCAAUUUUGGCACAAAUAUAUAUAUACACAUACACACAUAUAU